UCUCCCUCUCCACGCACACGCGCUCUGACAGCCGCCACGGCACCCUCCCCCUCCCCCGUUCGUGUCGCCGACGCCCACCGGCGCUCCGUCUCCCCUGCUCCGGAUCCAGGCCGUCGCCACCCGCCGUCGCCACCCGCCGGCGCUCCGACUCCCCGGCUCCGUGGAUGCCCGAUUCGGUCGGGGAAACCCUAGCAGCGGCAGAUCUUGGGCGCGCUUUCUCUCUCCGGGCGUGUGGAUGCCCGAUUCGGCCGGGACCGCAGAGCUGGAGGACCGGCUCAGGGAUGUCAGGGAGCGCCUACACGCGCCGCCCGACGAUGCCGAGGACCUGCUCAAGCUCCUCAACGUGAGCCUGCUCUCUUCGCCCUGCGCCUGUUCUUAUCUCGUUUCAUUUAUUACGAUACAUCGCGUUUGCCUGUGUGGUCUCGGCUUGGUGAAUCGUAGGCUCGUCUGUAUGAGUGGGAACGCGGGUGGAUUUUGCGCUCUUACCUUUUGGACGAUUGCUUGGAUCGCGGAUGGAAUGCUGUCGGGCUGGUGAUUCGAUUUAGCUUGAGGGAGCUCAUUGAGCAGUAUCAUCAUGCUACUAACAGCCACUUUGAGGAGAUAAACCACGAUCAGAACACCUUUGAAGACCAUGCUAAUCAUACAUCAAUGGACAGGAGCACAUCUUGGAAGACCAGACACCUUCCUGUACCGCAUGAGCAAAGGGAGGAUGGGGUGAGCCGAUGCCAUUCUACAGGUGGGCGCGGGACGGCCCGACCCGGCGCAGCCUCACGCGGCGACGCCUCCACUGCCCCAACAGCAAGCAGGAAGCAGCCGGCGGCCAAGCCCCAGCAGCAACCAGUGGUCACCUCCGAGGUGAGGUCCCUUUGUAUGUGUUUCAGCUAAAUCAAAGGGACCUGCACUUGAAUCUUAAAUACCUGUGUGAAUUUGAGAGCUGCUAAUGUCAGUUGGCAUCUACAAAGUAUAACAUAUAUAAGUGUUUCCGAAUGAUCGACUCAGUUGCUUAUCGAAGAUAUAUAUAUUAGUACUGUCAUAUGACUCAAGUUGUGCAUCUAAGAUAUUUAUUAGUACGGACCGAGCUUGGGUCAUGGACUCUUGUGUGGA